rnacentral:rRNA from 1 species
CACGUAGGAGGCGAGCGUUGUUCGGAUUUACUGGGCGUAAAGGGCGCGUAGGCGGCGCAACAAGUCACUUGUGAAAUCUCCGGGCUUAACCCGGAGCGGUCAAGUGAUACUGUCGUGCUAGAGUGCGGAAGGGGCUACUGGAAUUCUCGGUGUAGCGGUGAAAUGCGUAGAUAUCGAGAGGAACACCUGCGGCGAAGGCGGGUAGCUGGGCCGACACUGACGCUGAUGCGCGAAAGCCAGGGGAGCGAACGGG